rnacentral:misc_RNA from 1 species
GCUGCUGUCGAAGUUCCAUCUACAAAUGGAUAAUACUUUGGUUUUAUGGAUAAUACUUUGGUUUUAGUGUAUACGAGUCGUUGAAGGAUUAACACCAAACUUCUUGUUCUAUUAAGAAGUUUGGUAUUAAUCCUUCAACGACAGUAUUUUAUUCACAUAAUCGGUUUUCAUUUUCAUUUUUUUUAUUCAACUUAUGGAAACCGCUGGUUAUUUCAUGAUCGAAUAUCGUAGUUUCUUUUGUACCAACCUGUAAUUUAUAUACUACAUUCUUAUCCUUCAAAAUCAUUUGAUUUUUUCCUAUUUUAAAGGAUUGGCAUUUUCGGUACAAUAUCUGUAUGUCAGUAGGAAGGAGAGUGAAGUAAUAAAGACUCAAUAAAAAAAUAAUGAGUGGCCAAAAAGGAAUCCCUUUAAGAGAGGAGGGGCGGAUGUAGCCAAGUGGAUCAAGGCAGUGGAUUUGUGAAU